rnacentral:rRNA from 1 species
UACGGGGCGCAGCAGGCGCGAAACCUCCACAAUGUACGGAAGUACGAUGGGGUUAUCUCGAGUGCAGUCCGAUAAGGGCUGCUUUUCCAUAGAGUAAUAUCCUGUGGGAAUAAGAGGGGGGGCAAGUCUGGUGUCAGCCGCCGCGGUAA